UUCUUUCCUCUAUAUUUCAAAUUAUAUCCCUUGAUUCUUUCUAUUUUUACUUGUGAAUCAUGAGCUUUUUCAUUUGAUUUUGCUUAUUUAUGUGAUUUUUUUUUAAAUAGUUGAAGCAUACAAGAGAUAGUGUUAUUUAACAGUGAGAGAUAUUGACGAGGUCCAUGCGAGAGGAAUGAUUAGGGAGGGUUAUUGUUUCUAUUUUUUAUUUUUU
rnacentral:lncRNA from 1 species